AUGUGGCUCUCUCCUGCUCACGCAGCUCAAGCUUGCCUUCCUCCCCUAGCUUCCCCCUCCCUAGUGACCUCCGCACUCUGCUCCGGCUGCUUCAGAUCCAGCAUCGGCGAGGCUGAUAUGGUGGCUGCGAGGCCAGACGGCGGCGAGAUCAGGUGGUCGAAGCUGGGAAUGUCACUUCUGCUCGCGAACAUCCAGGCCCUGGUGGCGUCCUCCGGCGAGCUGACGGCCGACCAGAUCGAACGCAACCUCUUGAGCCCCGAGUCCAUCAAGGAAGAGGUCGCGAAGCUCAGGUUUGCCUGCGCGGAGUGGGGCUUCUUUCAGCCUGUUCAAGAAAUGUCUGAACUGUUCAAGAAAGAGGCGGGCAGCAGCAACGGCGAGGGAUGGGGCAACAAAAGGCAGCGGUGGCGAGGGGCGGGGCUCGAUCAGGCGCCCGGUCGUCUCGCCCCUGGGCAGACUUGCGUGGCCCUGCCUACCAAAGCAGCCAGAGAGAGGAGCGGCGGCCGCGGGCACGAGGAAGCGGCCUGGGACCUGAGCAGCAGCAUGCACUCCUGGUCCAGGCGAUCGACACCCAGGAGCACACAUAGCUCGAGGAGGAUGACCUCAAGCGGAUCACGGCGGGAGGCUCUAGCGAUGCGUGGAGGGGAUCUUGGCAGGAGGGGAACACGCGGAGGGGAUCGUGGCUGGAGGGGCACACGGAGGUGGUCGUGGAGUGAGGGGAAACCACCGGCGCGGUUCCUCAGUGGUGGCGGAGCAGUUCCUGGACGGCGCACGUCCUCGCCGGCGCAGGUGAAGAAUCCUAUGACGGCAUCCUUGGCGAUGCGCAUAAUCGCGCAGGUGCAGGCGGGCGGCAGCGAUGUAAUCAGAGGUGUAGGUGGCGGGCGGCGGCAGAAUCAGAGGCGCAAGUGGGCUCGUGCUGAUGGACGGCGGCGAAAUCAGCCGGGCGGCGCCUGCCCAGGCGAUGCGCGGGGACGACGGAGGAAGAAGAUGGGGCCAGGAUCUAUUUGA
rnacentral:rRNA from 1 species